rnacentral:misc_RNA from 1 species
AAAAAAAAAAAAAAAAAUCUUUUCAACAACGGCUAUGAAAUAGAAACAUAAUCUUGGUGCCCAUUUCCCAAGUCCAAUUCAAAAACACUACUGUUAUCCAAGCCUCAUGAUAUGGCAGUAGAAAAGUUGUCCAUAUUGGCCGCUCUUCUCUUGUGAAUGAACAGCACCAAACGGUCUCAUUCUCCGAAGCCAAAACUCGUUUGAUCGAUGCUUUCAUUGUGCAACCUGAGUACGUAAAUCCACAAGUAGUUCUUGACAAUAUUCAAAAUCUAUAUAAUCAGCCUGGAUGGUGGAAAAUUUCCCUGAUGUGCAGGUACUGUUUGCUAAAGUGGGUAUGCUUUCUUAUGUUAAUUGGGUUUAAUUUUUUAAAUAAAUUGGUUGGGUUCAGUUUUUAUCAUUAAAAAAUUUAGUUAAUUCCAUUCAAUUUUUUUUUUCACCUUUAAAAAUGAGAAUGAGGAACCAUUUUUCCUUGAUUUUUCAGUCCUCGUUUUCUGUGAUAAUUGCCCGGCUGAUAAGAUUAUCUUUAGUAGUGAACUGCAUUGUCAUCUUGAAUUUCAAGGAGUCCCAAGAUAAAUUGUUGAAGCUGACAUUGGCUGUUACAAAUUGGCUUACUCGUUCCCUUUCAUUUCUUGGAAUAACCUUCCAGCAAACAUAUGCCAUUACAAUAUCACCUCUUUAGAGACAGUUGGAUAGAGGAUGCUGUCAAUGGUCUUGUGAGCAAAGAUGAACAAUGUCACUUCAUACCGAUAAUGAUGAGAUAGUGCAUGUGACAGUUUUUGGUUGGCAUCUUUCUUAGGCUUAGGUUCUCAAUGACUGUAAAAUUGAGUGAGUUUCACACUUUUUUUUUUAUGCAAAAAUAUCUAUUUUGCAACUAUUAGUUUAUUAAUCAUUCUAUACAUCGAAGUAGAGCUAUGUAAAAAUGGUGGGACAAAGAAGAACACCAAAAGUAAUGAUAUAACCAAAACGCAUUAAAUUCCGAUUGGUUAUUAGAUUUGUUAUUCUAAAU